rnacentral:lncRNA from 1 species
AAGUGAUCGUGAGGGAAUAUCUGGAUCCAGAUGUAGUGGACAGUCACUGACACUGUAUGGAUCAAUGGCAGACCCAACAUUCCCUGCCUUUUUCUGAAAAACCUGGCUCCUUCAGCAACAUCAUCAUUAGCAAAAGCCAAAAGAGAAACUUGCCGACCUACACUGGUUUAUUUUCUGUCUUUCUCCCUUCUACAAUGAAGGUUCCAGAGCAGCAGGGACUUUGAGUGUCUUAAUCAUCACUGCAUUAUCAGCUCCUGAGACUGUUCCUGGCACUCCAUAAACACUUGGUGAUGAAUAAAUCAUCCAACAGAAAGAAGGUAAACUCCAAAUUCUUCCUUAUUCUCACAUGCAAGACCUUCUAUGGGCUGAAUCCAACUUCAGUUUUCCAGGCUUGCUAGUCCUCUCCUUUAAUUUUUGAUGCCAGCCACAUUCACCUUGUCAUUGACUCCUAAAUAGGGGGACUUCUUCACCACCAAGGUUUUUUAGUGAGUGCUGAUCUUCUUCCCUCUGCCCACCCAAAUGCUGUCCCAUGGCCUGUUGCGGUCUUUCCCUCUCUGUGAAGCCACACAAAUUACUCUGUCCAUGUGCACCUUGUUGUCUGCACCCCUUUGGUGUCUGGAGACCCUAUGUGCCCAGCAAUCAAGUAUGAUCUGCCUGCAUUAUCUUUCUCCCCUCAUAUUGC